GAGAGGAGCUUGCUCCUUGAUUCAGCGGCGGACGGGUGAGUAAUGCCUAGGAAUCUGCCUGGUAGUGGGGGACAACGUUUCGAAAGGAACGCUAAUACCGCAUACGUCCUACGGGAGAAAGCAGGGGACCUUCGGGCCUUGCGCUAUCAGAUGAGCCUAGGUCGGAUUAGCUAGUUGGUGAGGUAAUGGCUCACCAAGGCGACGAUCCGUAACUGGUCUGAGAGGAUGAUCAGUCACACUGGAACUGAGACACGGUCCAGACUCCUACGGGAGGCAGCAGUGGGGAAUAUUGGACAAUGGGCGAAAGCCUGAUCCAGCCAUGCCGCGUGUGUGAAGAAGGUCUUCGGAUUGUAAAGCACUUUAAGUUGGGAGGAAGGGCAUUAACCUAAUACGUUAGUGUUUUGACGUUACCGACAGAAUAAGCACCGGCUAACUCUGUGCCAGCAGCCGCGGUAAUACAGAGGGUGCAAGCGUUAAUCGGAAUUACUGGGCGUAAAGCGCGCGUAGGUGGUUUGUUAAGUUGGAUGUGAAAG
rnacentral:rRNA from 2 species